AAGGUUCUUUAUUUAUUUCAAGUUGUUCAAAUGAGUUUCAAAAUGGUCUUAAUAUCGUGAAGUGAGUCAACUGACACCUUGCGAGAGUUUUUCUCGUCGUUAGUUAAUUUAUAUUACGAUAUCUUUGAUCGAAAGCUUUGAAAUUCAUAAAUCCACGCAAUCAGAAAACUAGAGGGAUCUUAGAUAAGGACUAGUGUCCACGCCCUUUUUCGCUAACAAUGACUGAGUUUCUACAGUUCAUAGUUUGAUAGUAGGUGGGCGCAAAUUU
rnacentral:snoRNA from 1 species